UACGUAGGGUGCAAGCGUUAAUCGGAAUUACUGGGCGUAAAGCGUGCGCAGGCGGUUAUUCAAGUCAGAGGUGAAAUCCCCGGGCUCAACCUGGGAACUGCCUUUGUGACUGCAUAGCUAGAGUACGGUAGAGGGGGAUGGAAUUCCGCGUGUAGCAGUGAAAUGCGUAGAUAUGCGGAGGAACACCGAUGGCGAAGGCAAUCCCCUGGACCUGUACUGACGCUCAUGCACGAAAGCGUGGGGAGCAAACAGG
rnacentral:rRNA from 1 species